CGGCGAGUGAAGCGGCAACAGCUCAAAUUUGAAAUCUGGCUCCUAGAGCCCGAGUUGUAAUUUGUAGAGGAUGCUUUUGAUGCGGUGCCUUCCGAGUUCCCUGGAACGGGACGCCAUAGAGGGUGAGAGCCCCGUCUGGUCGGAUGCCAAAUCUCUGUAAAGCUCCUUCGACGAGUCGAGUAGUUUGGGAAUGCUGCUCAAAAUGGGAGGUAUAUGUCUUCUAAAGCUAAAUAUUGGCCAGAGACCGAUAGCGCACAAGUAGAGUGAUCGAAAGAUGAAAAGCACUUUGAAAAGAGGGUUAAAUAGUACGUGAAAUUGUUGAAAGGGAAGCGCCUAUGACCAGACUUGGGCCCGGUGAAUCAUCCAGCGUUCUCGCUGGUGCACUUUGCCGGGCACAGGCCAGCAUCAGUUUGUCUUGGGGGAAAAAGGCUUUGGGAACGUGGCUCCCUCGGGAGUGUUAUAGACCAUUGCAUAAUACCCUGGGACGGACUGAGGUUCGCGCAUCUGCAAGGAUGCUGGCGUAAUGGUCAUCAGCGACCCGUCUUGAAACACGGACCAAGGAGUCGUCUUCGUAUGCGAGUGUUCGGGUGUAAAACCCCUACGCGUAAUGAAAGUGAACGCAGGUGAGAGCUUCGGCGCAUCAUCGACCGAUCCUGAUGUUCUCGGAUGGAUUUGAGUAAGAGCAUACGGGGCCGGACCCGAAAGAAGGUGAACUAUUCCUGUAUAGGGUGAAGCCAGAGGAAACUCUGGUGGAGGCUCGCAGCGGUUCUGACGUGCGAAUCGAUCGUCAAAUAUGGGAAUGGGGGCGAAAGACUAAUCGAACCUUCUAGUAGCUGGUUUCCGCCGAAGUUUCCCUCAGGAUAGCAGUGUUGAACUCAGUUUUAUGAGGUAAAGCGAAUGAUUAGGGACUCGGGGGCGCUAUUUAGCCUUCAUCCAUUCUCAAACUUUAAAUAUGUAAGAAGCUCUUGUUGCUUAAUUGAACGUGAGCAUUCGAAUGUAUCAACACUAGUGGGCCAUUUUUGGUAAGCAGAACUGGCGAUGCGGGAUGAACCGAACGCGAGGUUAAGGUGCCGGAGUGGACGCUCAUCAGACACCACAAAAGGCGUUAGUACAUCUUGACAGCAGGACGGUGGCCAUGGAAGUCGGAAUCCGCUAAGGACUGUGUAACAACUCACCUGCCGAAUGUACUAGCCCUGAAAAUGGAUGGCGCUCAAGCGUCCCACCAAUACCUCGCCCUCAGGGUAGAAACGAUGCCCUGAGGAGUAGGCGGACGUGGAGGUCAGUGACGAA
rnacentral:rRNA from 1 species